GGGAGCUCGAGUUGGGGGCCAGAAUCCGGCGGCAGGAGUGCGGGAGCCGAGCAGGAGAAGAUCCUGGAACAACAGCCCACCUCAAGCCUCCACACCCCUCAGCCUCAAGGCGACCAGCCCGGCCGAGGCCCGUGCCGCGCUCACCGCCCAUGGUCCCGGCCUGGCCAGGCCCGCCUCCUGCUCGCGGCUCCGCGGCUCCGUGCCGUUUCGGCGCUCGCCGCCUGCUCCGCUCGGCGCUUAGGGAGGUAAGGACCGCGGGACAGCGCGGCAGCUCACAGCGCCCCCUGUAGACCUCGCCGCGCCGCGCGCUCGCCCCGCCCCGCGCCGGGCGCCCUUUAGCUCCGCCCCGGAGGCGGUGAGGCUCUGCGGCCUGACCCGGGGGAAGGGCGCAGAAAGGGCUGCAGAGACGACUCUUGACUCUUUGAAGCCAAACGCAGCCCCAAAGGACUGGCCAGUCUGCAGAGCCCCCGGUGGGCGAAAGCUAUGGUAACGGGCGUCUGAGGGCGCAGAGACCGCGGCCACAUUGCACGCACGGCUUCUGCGCGCCUCACAACGCGGGACUUGGGAUCCGGGAUUACUCCGACGCACGUCUGGGCCCCGGCGCACGGCCCCGGCCCCGGGCUGGGCCCCUAGCGUCUGUGCGUUUGGGCCGUGUGCAUGGCCUGGCGCCGCUUUGAUCACCGUGUUGGGCUGGGCGCAUCUGUUUGGGGCCCGCCACUGCUGGGUGACUGCUGCCGCGUGGACGCGAUCUGCCACGAUUCUCGCCACCACGUCCCCCAUCCCCCCUUCACCUACUCCACGCUUCUCCUCCGAUGCCGACGCCGACCACGUCCAGCCCGGUGAAGACCUGGCUGCCACUGUUUCCGGAUGGGCUGCAGGCUUCCCGGACAGGUAGCCGUCCCCAAAGCCUGCGUCCCUGCUCCGCGGCUUCCUCGGAAGCUGCUGAAGAUUGACACAGCAUUUGACCUAUUUCUGUAACUCAGGCAUACGAUAAUUGAGCUUGAUUUGAUA